AUACAUAUCUACCGUCACGCCAAGACACUAUGAAAACCUUGAAAAAACUAAAAUCAUGAAGCCUUGCGGAAGAGUAAGAAACAAUAAGAAUUCCUCCCUGGUGUCUGCUGUUGGCUGCACCUGUGGCCAAGGCCAAGCACUCCAGACAGUUCUGGUGAUCAUGAAAUAACCUAAAAUUCACAACUCAUGUGAAAGACAAAAACAGGCUGUUGAAGAAUGUUUAUUAAACAGUUCAGUUUUGGCAAAUAUAUUACUACAAACACCAUGACCGCUGAACAUGGCAGACCAUUAACGUGUGCCAGGACAAGCAGCCACACAAUGCUGUAUGACUUCACUUAUUGGCAAACAGUGGACCUGCUGGCCACUGCUACUGCUGGUGCCUCUGCUGUGUGGGGCAUACCGAGGCACCCCAAGGCUGGGACACAAGAGUCAGGAGGCCACUUUGUUAUAAAGAAAUAAAUCCUGUCUAUCUAGAGGGAAGAGUACCAAGCUGUGCCAAUAUUCCAGUCUGGCUUAUUUUUCAGACAAGGGAAGCAUUACUCACAUUGUAGCUCAUAUUUGCAUAUUUUUUUGUUAUUUGCACAAAUAUAUCUUAUCUAACAAAUGGUCAUUUAUCUGUCAUCUACACUUACUUGUGGUCAAUGAUGUUACCUUUUAAAAGUAUCAACUAGAAUCAUCUCAUCUAAGAUAUUUCCUCUAACAGCUUAAGUGACCAGCACAUAUCUUUAUUGUUCCUUAAAUAAACUUUAAUCUUUUAUAUGUGAGAAUCUCACUGAUGAUAAGAUAGAGUUGGGAACACACGCUGCAGCUGUGUGUGGCCUCCGUGCAUCUUUGUUCCACUGGCACUUGAGUCUGUGGUGGGCGAGAACCCAUUACCCCGGGACACAGGGGAAGUGCAACAUCCAGGUUACCAGCAAGAAUACUGGCACUACUCAGUACUUUCCACCUUCAACAUAGAAUAUAUUAGGAAAAAGCUAAAAUGAAGAGGAAAAAAAUCCUUGCAGCGGAGGAGUGAGUAGAUCACAAUUACACUGAGUGGCCUUAUUGUCACCGGACUAAAUUCCUUACAAAUUUAAGAAGCAGCCAAAACCCUCAACAGCAUGGAAGCCUGUCCACAACUGGCCUGUGCUGCAGCCAUCAGUGAAUCUUUGUUUGGCAUGAAGCCCUCAAGAAUCCCCCAGACUAUGCAUGACCCUAAAGGUACCACCCCACACCCUAUGUGCCUCCAAAGGCACCAUGGAGGCCCUACAUGGUUCUACAGGAACUCUGAAGGCCUGCCACUGGCUCAGCAGACCUUAACAUGGCAUACCCUUGUGAGUGUUGUGUUGGCUGGCGGAGGUUCAGUCACCGUCAACAUCCCUCCUCUAAACCACAACUGACUACUGACCAAAGUGAGCGAGCUUUUUUGUACCUGAUUCUUAUCAAUAAAUGUUACCAUCUACUGAUCACUACACUUGGUAAUACACCUAAGAACUACACUGGUACACAUAAAAGACAACUAUUAAAAAAAAGAAAAAAAAAAAAGUAAAGAGUAUGAAAGCAGCAAAAUGCUAACCCUAACACAACCUUGCCAGUCAUCUUCACACAGGCUCUGGCAUGGGGGCUUGAUGAGUGGAGGAGGGAUGUUAAUAUUCCCUCAUCAUGUGUCCCUCUCUUCUCUUUCCACUAUUGUCUAAUCUGACAUGAAUAAUCUUAGCCAAUGCAUCCCCAUGGAAACCAAGUAUCAAAAGACACAAUAACAACUCCAGUAUUAUGAUUCCUGAAGAUACAGUGAAGUUUAACAUCUACAAUUUUUCUUUAUGGCAUUUGUUAUAACUUGGCACUGAGAACAAUCAAAACUUAAGCUUGUUCUAUUAAGUCAGUCAUUAUGCAAGAAACCAAAAAAGCCAAGGGACUGACACAUAUUGAUAACUGCCCUUGUUAUAGUAGGAUAUCAAUGUAUUAUUAUUAUUUAGACCCCCGACAAGCCCGUUACACCCUGCAGUGAUUGUACAACAGCCACACAAAUCCACAGUAUCAAUGCAGAACCCAUUAGCUACUUUGCUUCACUACUGGUGGUGCAACAUUGCCUCAGUGGCCAUUCCUUUUUUACGAUUUUGGACACUUCCCAAAACAAUAUUAAGUGUAACAGUAAAGAGUGCAACAGCUUGCCAGGAGCCCUCAUGAUAUCACAGCACUCCUGGGAGAAGACAGUUAAUUUAUUUUCUUUGCCACUCUCAUUGAAAUCACUUUUAAAAGGCAACACUCUCUAAACACUCUUUGAACUAUUUCCCAAACUCAGUCCAACACAGUUGUCAAUUGAGCACAAUUCCUUCCUUAAGUUCUGCACAAAAACACACAAUAUAUACAAAUAACAGAGACAGUCAAGAACACAAUUAAAAGCUUCUUUGCAGGCUUGCUGAAGUUAGUAGCAUUUACAUCGUGUUACAGCAACUAAAUGAACAAAAAACUGUUAAGUCAGACAAGGCACAGGUUUACUUACAUCUAUGUUAUGUUAAUCCCUAGGGUGAGGAAACCAUUGUUAGCUUGAGAAAAUUAAGAACAUUAUUACCUUGUGGAAGCAUAAAUAUUUGAAAUACUGUCAUUAAAGUCAUAACUUCCGCUAUCCUCAAAACUCUCAAUUUAUUACAGUGUGACUACUGAGAAAGUGAUUGCCAAAGCCCUGCCUCAUUUACCUGUCAAACUUUACCGCACGCCAACAAGACCACUUGUGAGUCCACAAAGCCCUUUGUAAUUGAUCUUCAUGCAUGGUACAACACAGGCUGGAGCUUACAAAGUUUUAUCAGUAAUUGCACUUUAAGAGAGUUCAGGCAAGGUAUGUUUGCCAUUUUGUAUGCAUUACUCCAAUUAAUACUCAUAUAAGGAACAAAGCUGCUCUGGAAAAUGAAUGUAAGUAUAAAAAUGCUCUACUGUCAAAUCUAAAAAAAAUUAAAAUCUUUGUUUUGACAAUUCUUUUAUUUUAUUCCUAAGCUCAAGUUCCUUUCUAUGCCUCAGUUCAUUUUUCCAACUUGGUCAUUUUCCUGAUAUGAGCACUAAUUGAACUGCUGCGUACAGAUUGGUGAACACACUCCAACCCAGGCAUGCAUCACGUUAGUGGCUGAACACACUCACUACACACUUCAUCCCGUCAGAUGUUCUGAAAUCAACAAUGAAGGUUACCACACACAUACGGAUGGCUGUGUAGCAGCUACAAGAUCUAUCUUAGAACAGCUGCAAAACAUACUUUAGACCCAGAGGUAAUAUCAGAAACCAGAUAGCAGAAAAAAUACUGAUGAUGAAGACUAGAAACCAUAGCUGCAAGGAGUAGGAGGGAGAGGCGAGACACAAGAAUAGAAGCAGGAGAAGGAGGAAGAGGAGGGGGAAAGGGGACAGAGGUAAAUGAAGAGGAGGUGAAGGAAAAAUAAAAGAAGGAAGAGAGUAAUGAAGGUUGGGUGACAAACAAAGCUCAAUAGAAGCAGGAGAAGGAGGAAGAGGAGGGGGAAAGGGGACAGAGGUAAAUGAAGAGGAGGUGAAGGAAAAAUAAAAGAAGGAAGAGAGUAAUGAAGGUCGGGUGACAAACAAAGGUCAAUAGAAGCAGGAGAAGGAGGAAGAGGAGGGGGAAAGGGGACAGGUAAAUGAAGAGGAGGUGAAGGAAAAAUAAAAGAAGGAAGAGAGUAAUGAAGGUCGGGUGACAAACAAAGCUCAAUAGAAGCAGGAGAAGGAGGAAGAGGAGGGGGAAAGGGGAUAGAGGUAAAUGAAGAGGAGGUGAAGGAAAAAUAAAAGAAAGAAGAGUAAUGAAGGUUGGGUGACAAACAAAGCUCAAUAGAAGCAGGAGAAGGAGGAAGAGGAGGGGGAAAGGGGACAGAGGUAAAUGAAGAGGAGGUGAAGGAAAAAUAAAAGAAAGAAGAGAGUAAUGAAGGUCGGGUGACAAACAAAGCUCAAUAGAAGCAGGAGAAGGAGGAAGAGGAGGGGGAAAGGGGACAGGUAAAUGAAGAGGAGGUGAAGGAAAAAUAAAAGAAAGAAGAGUAAUGAAGGUUGGGUGACAAACAAAGCUCAAUAGAAGCAGGAGAAGGAGGAAGAGGAGGGGGAAAGGGGACAGGUAAAUGAAGAGGAGGUGAAGGAAAAAUAAAAGAAAGAAGAGAGUAAUGAAGGUCGGGUGACAAACAAAGCUCAAUAGAAGCAGGAGAAGGAGGAAGAGGAGGGGGAAAGGGGACAGGUAAAUGAAGAGGAGGUGAAGGAAAAAUAAAAGAAGGAAGAGAGUAAUGAAGGUCGGGUGACAAACAAAGCUCAUGAAAAAUGCAAACGUCUAAUAUGGAUAAUACAACACAUAAUAGUUUCACAUUUCACCCACUUCCCUGUGGACACAUCAGAUCUCUGAGCGCCGUCACACCCUCAGUGCUGAACGGACAUUUAAAGCCACAGCAAAAGAAAAA